rnacentral:rRNA from 1 species
GUGGGGAAUUUUGGACAAUGGGGGCAACCCUGAUCCAGCCAUGCCGCGUGUGUGAUGAAGGCCUUCGGGUUGUAAAGCACUUUCGGACGGAACGAAAUCGCGCGGGCGAAUAUCCCGCGUGGAUGACGGUACCGUAAGAAGAAGCACCGGCUAACUACGUGCCAGCAGCCGCGGUAAUACGUAGGGUGCGAGCGUUAAUCGGAAUUACUGGGCGUAAAGGGUGCGCAGGCGGCUUCGCAAGUCAGGCGUGAAAUCCCCGAGCUUAACUUGGGAAUUGCGUUUGAAACUACGAGGCUGGAGUGUGGCAGAGGGAGGUGGAAUUCCACGUGUAGCGGUGAAAUGCGUAGAUAUGUGGAGGAACACCGAUGGCGAAGGCAGCCUCCUGGGCCAACACUGACGCUCAUGCACGAAAGCGUGGGGAGCAAACAGGAUUAGAAACCCGAGUAGUCC